GAUAACUGACUUGUCGCAGACAAGCGUUUCUAGUGACGCUGCUUCUGAUUCUUUAGUGUCGGCUCUUCCUGUCAUUGCGAAAUAAAAGUCGCCAGUUUUUGAAUUAUUCUCCCACUAAUUGGGAGCGUGAGCUGGGAUUUGACCGUCGUGAGACAAUUC
rnacentral:ncRNA from 1 species